rnacentral:tRNA from 1 species
GGCGAUGUAGCUCAGACGGUCAGAGCAUGCGGCUCAUAUCCGCAGUGUCCGGGGUUCAAAUCCCUGCAUCGCCACCA